UACGUAGGGUGCGAGCGUUAAUCGGAAUUACUGGGCGUAAAGCGUGCGCAGGCGGUUUUGUAAGCCAGAUGUGAAAGCCCCGGGCUUAACCUGGGAAUGGCAUUUGGGACUGCAAGGCUGGAGUGUGGCAGAGGAGACUGGAAUUCCUGGUGUAGCAGUGAAAUGCGUAGAUAUCAGGAGGAAUACCGAUGGCGAAGGCAGGUCUCUGGGCUGACACUGACGGUCAUGCACGAAAGCGGGGGGAGCAAACAGG
rnacentral:rRNA from 1 species